rfam:Anopheles epiroticus strain epiroticus2 unplaced genomic scaffold supercont1.50, whole genome shotgun sequence.
GUUUUUCUCCUGGUUUUCACUGUAGGCCUGUAUGUGCUAUUGCAGAUUUCAUAAGGCACGCGGUGAAUGCCAAGAGCGAACGA